UACGUAGGGUCCGAGCGUUGUCCGGAAUUAUUGGGCGUAAAGCGCUCGUAGGCGGUUCGGUAAGUCGGGUGUGAAACCUCCAGGCUCAACCUGGUGACGCCACCCGAUACUGCCGUGACUUGAGUUCGGUAGGGGAGCGGGGAAUUCCUGGUGUAGCGGUGAAAUGCGCAGAUAUCAGGAGGAACACCGGUGGCGAAGGCGCCGCUCUGGGCCGAAACUGACGCUGAGGAGCGAAAGCGUGGGGAGCGAACAGG
rnacentral:rRNA from 1 species